CAGGUGGGACACGGCCCCCGACACAGUCCCCCCCCCGCUGACCCCGAGGGGCUGCAGGCGGCGCUGGAGGAGCUGCGGGAGCACAACCGGGGGCUGCGGGACCACCUGGGACAGCGGCUGGGACAGGUGCAGGAGCUGCGUGAGGCGCUGUCCCUCGCGGGGCAGCGGGCGCGGGAGGCCCAGGGUGCCCAGGCCCGGCUGGCGCGGGAG